rnacentral:rRNA from 1 species
GGGUUAAGUCCCGCAACGAGCGCAACCCUUGUCUUAUGUGCCAGCACGUGAUGGUGGGGACUCGUAAGAGACUGCCGGGGUCAACUCGGAGGAAGUGGGGACGACGUCAAGUCAUCAUGCCCCUUAUGUCCAGGGCUUCACACAUGCUACAAUGGCCAGUACAGAGGGCUGCGAGACCGUGAGGUGGAGCGAAUCCCUUAAAGCUGGUCUCAGUUCGGAUCGGGGUCUGCAACUCGACCCCGUGAAGUCGGAGUCGCUAGUAAUCGCAGAUCAGCAACGCUGCGGUGAAUACGUUCCCGGGCCUU